GGGGGCAGACGGGAUCUCUGUGGGCAGAUCGGGGUGUGGAUCAGCGGGAAGCGCCCAACUAGAAACUCCCUUGGAUUCUCCAAGAGGCGCUGGACCUCGUUGGUCCCCUUUGCCCCAGUGAUCCAGCUUUAGGAGAAGUUUUCCCAAGAGAAGGUACCAGACAGAUCGGAUGUCAAGAGGCGGCUCAGGUGUUAUAGACUGCAGGCAAUGAUUCUACCUUGAUAAUCCAGGCAGACCACCGUGGAUCAAAAAUUCCUGGUUUCUCCCAUUUCCUCAGUGAACAGAAAGUAUUAGAGACCCUUUCCAGUCUUUGCACGUUGCCUCCUUUCUGAGGAAUGAUGGAAUUGCCAUUAUGUGGAAGAGGACUGAUCCUAAGUCUAAUUUUCCUCCUGUUAAAAUUGUCAGCAGCUGAAAUACCACUCUCCGGUAAAAGCACAGAUUCCCUGUUAUGGAAGUUUGUGUCCGCGUUUUAAGUAGAACUCAUGUGCAAUGUCUGAAUUAUCAUGAAGGUUCAUGGUUAUGUUUUCUAGGCUAGGAUAUUUAGCCGCUCUCAUAACUUUUCAACCUUGUUAUUUUGUUUUUCAAACAACCUUAGUUGGUUACAAGAAGUAUAAUGGAGACAGCAGAUAUUUGUCAUAUGUGUAAGAUGAUAUGGAAUAGUACAAGAAGCUUUUACUUUUGUAUAUUUAAGGAAAAAAACAUGAUCUAGAAAUUACUAACAUUAAAUAAUAUAACAGAAAGUAAUAAAUCACAUUUUUAAAAAAAAGAUUUAUUUUCCAUUAUUUAUAUGUGUGUUCGGGUGGGUAUAUAUGCAUAUGAGUGAACGUGCCCUCUGACGCCAGAAGAGGGAGUCAGAUCCUGCUGAAGCUGGUGUAAUAGGUAGGUCUGACACUGGAGGUGGAAAUGACUUGGUCCCUUUGCAAGAGCAUUAGUACAUGGUAAUAACUGUUGAGCCAUCUCUCUGGCCCCAGAAGCCUCAUAUUCUUUGCCAAACAAAAGUUAACUUAAAAAUGGGAACACUGACUUAUGAAAAUAACUAAAAGACAUGUUAGAAUUCAAAGUCUUAUUACCCAUAUUGACUCCCCCCAUCUAGUGUAUUCUAGAAUAUGAAUUAUUUUAAGUCAUUAGUCAGUGGUCUUAUGAAUAUAUAUUUAUAAUACCUUGGAAAUGGCAUGCAAAAUGUUAGUCAUAUAUUUCAACAAUUAUAAGAUUAAUAGUUCUAAAAUAAUGCAACUGUAAACACGCUUUCUGUAGUGGUCUAUAAAGGAAAGACUGUAGCUAAUCAGGUGAUUAUUCUACCUAUAAAAGGUCUUUGAGAAGUGGAUCAUUAUAGAUCAUGUAAAUGCUAAAGGUACAGUCCUUAUCUCAGACAAUUUAAUCAAUAUUUAAAGAGUACUAAUAUUAAAGUAAAUUUUUUCUUCUGAAGUACUUAGACUUAAUGUGACUAGAAAGCAAGAAAAUCACUUGAGAUGUGUUUUAAAAUCUCCUCUGAAUGUCACUCUUAAUUACUUUAAAGAAGGUGUUUUACACCACACAGUGUGCUGGUAGUCAGGUGAGAAUCUACACUUUUCUAUUCUUACCAGAUGCUUGAGCUUCUGUCUCUCUAUUUUCAUCUGCUAAGAAAGUUCAUUUCCCUGUCCUGCAUACACACAUGAUUAUGUUCACAUGCGUAAUUCUUUUCACAUGUAACUGAAAUUUUACCACUUGUACAACAUGUCAAAAUUCACCAUUGAACAUCUGAGAAUAUAAUAUACCCUCACAUUGACUAUAUUUUCUCUCUGAAAGAAAUUAUGUUAUGUGUAUUGGGGGUCGUUCUUUGUUUUGUUUUGCCUGCAUGUGUGCCUGUGCACUAUGUACAUGCCUGGUGCCAAAGAAAGCCUAAAAAUGGCACUGAAUAUGUGGUGCACAGGCACACAUUGCAGAUCUCCUAGAAAUGAGCAAGUGUGUUUAACUGCUGACACAACUCUCCAUCCCCAUUAGAUUCUCUUGUAUAAGGGUGCAGGUCUAAGUUAAGGGUAGCAAAGAUGCAUCUGGUAUUCCAGAGUGAAGCCUAUGACCUUAUUCUCUAAGAAAUACAUACAGACUCUGUGGUUUUGCCCUUAUUUUUCAGUAAAUGAAGGAUGUAAAAUGUUGUAUUAGCUCAUGUCACUUAUUAUUAUUCUGAUAGUCUCAGUUACUUACAAAUGGUCAUGCUGUAAUGUCCUCAGACAAUUGUUAUAAAAUAUUAAUAGCAUGUUUUCAGAGCAGCUGAAUAUUGCCCAUUUAUUUUGGCACUCUGGAGCACUCCCUAGUAAAUGUGACCAAGGCAGGUAUCCAAUUUGAAUGUCAACGAGUCUGGUGUCUCUGUAAUUGGCCUAAUUAUAGAGGAAAAGAUUUGUAAUGUGGAAUAUAUAUUCAUACAAACACCCAAAGGUUAUUAGCUCCUUUCCCUGAAUAAUUAGUUAUUGUAGAUGCUUUACAACCUUAGCAAAUUUAAGAAAGAAUAAUGUUGUAAUAAACAAGUUGUUCUCAAGUUAUUAGCUGGUAUCUGUGGGACUGCUGUUCUUGUGCAACCCCCCUCACCAUUUGUAAAUGCAAUAGAAUUAUAACAGGAUGAACUUGUAAAAAGUUCAUUACCCACUCUGUUUAGAAAUGGUAUUAAUCAGAAACAAGACAACUGCCAUGAGUAUGUGGAUGAUUUUUACCAAUUACUAAAAUGAUGAUUGACACCCACUGGAUACCAUCUGAAUUUGAGUCAUUGUGUGCAAUGUAGUGACAACGACUUAUUACAUUUAUGAGACAAAAAGAAAUUAAUGAAAAAUUGAAAUUGAGAAGAAAUUUGGGCUAUUAAACCUAAGCUGGGUGUUGAUGCUUAAAUGGUGGCUUGUGGAUGCCUCAGGAGCUCAGAGAUACAUUUAAAUGAUGUGUGAGAUCCAACUGUUUAGAAAAUAACACACUAGUGUCUCUUCCUCCCCUCCUUGCUGCCAUUGUUGUCUGUAGUUUUUUGAGAUAUACACUAGGACAAUUUCUGUUUCCUUAACAUGAAUAAUGGCAUCCACACUAAUCUGUCUAACACAGGUGUAUUUCAUGGACAAGAACUUAUAUCCAUAUCACCCAAACCAAAAUAAUUUUGCUUAAGCUUAAAGUAGUUGAAUCCAUAGAACUAAAUUAACUCAGUGCUCAACCUCUGGACAACACUGAUGCACUGUAAAAUAGGCAUAAAAUAAUUCUGCUGCAUUAAAGUGAAAGGAUUUUCUUAGUUCUUGAUUAUAUUAUUGCUUCUGCACACACAUUAUUUUUACUUGAAAACAUUAUUCACAGACAAAUUACGGCUGGUCAGAUGGUCAUCUGCAGAUAUUUUUCCUUAGAAUGAACCCAAUAAUUCUGAAACUUCAAGAUAAACUGGCAAUAUAAAUGAUAACUAUCAAUGACCAAAUUUGAGUGUUCAAGC
rnacentral:lncRNA from 1 species